GAUGAACGCUGGCGGCGUGCCUAAUACAUGCAAGUCGAGCGAACGGACGAGAAGUUUGCUUCUCUGAUGUUAGCGGCGGACGGGUGAGUAACACGUGGAUAACCUACCUAUAAGACUGGGAUAACUUCGGGAAACCGGAGCUAAUACCGGAUAAUAUCUUGAACCGCAUGGUUCAAAAGUGAAAGACGGUCUUGGUGUCACUUAUAGAUGGAUCCGCGCUGCAUUAGCUAGUUGGUAAGGUAACGGCUUACCAAGGCAACGAUGCGUAGCCGACCUGAGAGGGUGAUCGGCCACACUGGAACUGAGACACGGUCCAGACUCCUACGGGAGGCAGCAGUAGGGAAUCUUCCGCAAUGGGCGAAAGCCUGACGGAGCAACGCCGCGUGAGUGAUGAAGGUCUUCGGAUCGUAAAGCUCUGUUAUUAGGGAAGAACAUAUGUGUAAGUAACUGUGCACAUCGUGACGGUACCUAAUCAGAAAGCCACGGCUAACUACGUG
rnacentral:rRNA from 1 species